rnacentral:rRNA from 1 species
GCUGAGCACUCCUACGGGAGGCAGCAGUGGGGAAUAUUGCACAAUGGGCGCAAGCCUGAUGCAGCCAUGCCGCGUGUAUGAAGAAGGCCUUCGGGUUGUAAAGUACUUUCAGCAGUGAGGAAGGUGGGUAUGUUAAUAGCAUAUUCAUUUGACGUUAGCUGCAGAAGAAGCACCGGCUAACUCCGUGCCAGCAGCCGCGGUAAUACGGAGGGUGCGAGCGUUAAUCGGAAUUACUGGGCGUAAAGCGCAUGCAGGUGGUUUGUUAAGUCAGAUGUGAAAAGCCCCGGGGCUCAACCUCGGAAUUGCAUUUGAAACUGGCAAACUAGAGUACUGUAGAGGGGGUAGAAUUUCAGGUGUAGCGGUGAAAUGCGUAGAGAUCUGAAGGAAUACCGGUGGCGAAGGCGGCCCCCUGGACAGAUACUGACACUCAGAUGCGAAAGCGUGGGGAGCAAACAGGAUUAGAUACCCUGGUAG